AUGCAGAGCUUAUGCCCGUCAUUGGCUUGUCUCCCCUGGGCUGUGCAUCCAGCUCCAGCGGGUUCAGCACGACUGAGGCAGCAGUGGGAAGGAAGAUUAUUCGGUAGGAUGGCGCUGACAACAUAUCGGAGAUGCGCCAAGCCUUGCUGCGACCUAGCUUUCUUGUGCUUGCUCUCCUUCCCCAACAACAGACCAUCAUGGCCCUCCCUUUUGUUGUUCAUCAAUGGGGGUCAUGUUCACAUCAGAACCUUCAUCAGCACAAUCUUCAUGAAUUUUCCAUAUUUGUCAUAUCUCUCUGAUUGUCCAAUGCAGAUCAUGUUGUUAAAAAGUGAAACUUCUGGGUUGAUUUCAGGUUUAAGGCGUAAAGACAUUUUUAGUUUCUGUUCGUGCUGGAAAAUUUAUGUUCAUUGUCGCACCAAUCAUGUCGGAACCGAAUUUAUUUUCAUUGUUUCAGUCCAAUUCAUCCUUAGAGGGAAAGUGUGGGCCUUGAACUGA
rnacentral:rRNA from 1 species